rnacentral:rRNA from 1 species
AUGCACGCUGGCGGCGUGCCUCAUCCCUGCCAGUCGCACGCUGGAGAUCUAGCUUGCUAGCUCGAAGGAGUGGCGAACGGGUGAGUAAUACAUAAGCAACCUACCCACGAAGACUGGGAUAAUCUCUGGAAACGGGGACUAAUACCGGAUAGGUAAUCGGAAGGCAUCUUCUGGUUAUUAAAGGUUAAAAACACUGGUGGAUGGGCUUAUGGCGCAUUAGUUAGUUGGUGAGGUAACGGCCCACCAAGACGAUGAUGCGUAGCCGGCCUGAGAGGGUGAACGGCCACAUUGGGACUGAGACACGGCCCAGACUCCUACGGGAGGCAGCAGUAGGGAAUUUUCGGCAAUGGGGGCAACCCUGACCGAGCAACGCCGCGUGAGUGAAGACGGCCUUCGGGUUGUAAAGCUCUGUUGUAAGGGAAGAACGGUAGAUAGAGAAUAUCUAAGUGACGGUACCUUACCAGAAAGCCACGGCUAACUACGUG